UUUUUUAUUAUUUUGAAAAGUAACCUGAUUUUCAUUUCUUCAUUUUCAUCUCUCUCUCCUUCCCCUCCUCUGCUACCUUGCUAGAAGGCCCAACAGAGAACCCUAGAGUUCUCUGUGCUCCACAACUCCCAGUUGUGGCCACUGGCCACUGCCACCUUCUCUAGCUAGCCAAUGCACAGCCAGGUCACUCUCUGUCGCAAGAGCCUCUCUCAUCAUAUCUCAACUCCCAGCAAGGAUCACCUCGCCUACUCUCACUCAGGAGAUUCAAACUAUGGAGCCUACAGUUGAGAAGCCUUUUCAGUUUAAAGGAGUUCCAAGAGAUGAAAAUAAUAAGUAUGAUACGGAGGAGGCAAGAUGCAAUUCUAUACGAAAACGGUAAUAUCAAUAAUGGUAAUAUCACAAAGGGGAUGCAAUCUUUCAUGAAGAGAAGAGAUUGGUGUUCAACCUCAAAUUUUAUCCAAUCGAUAUAUGGCUCGGGAGAUGGGAGUUGCGUAGUUGUCCAAUGUUGUAUCUAUUUAGGCGUGAACUUGCUUUUGUGAAGAGUACAUUAUGUGCAAGUGAUACAAAAUCAAUUCAUUUUGCUCAGUGUUUUGUUACAUUAAUAUUAUAUUUGAACACGUAUGUUCUUUACUGCUCAA